UUGACCGUGUACUCCCAGAUGUCGCCUUCCGCGGCCAGGGUCUCGUCGCCGAAGUGGUCGCCGUCGGCGAGGGUGCCCAGCACGGUCUCGUCGCCGUACUCGCCGGUGCCGAUCUUGGUCACCUUGCCGUGCGCGAUCAGGAACGCCUGGUCGGAGCGGUUGCCGAACUCGACGAUCACAUCGCCGGGCUGGUACUCCUGCUGGACGAACCGGUCCGCGAGGGCGGAGAGCACCUCCUCGUCGUCGAAGCCGCGCAGCAGUGGCAGCUCGCAGAGCUCGGGUGGGAUGACGCGGAUGGUCGCCCCGGUGUUGGUGAAGGUGACCCGGCCGUCCCCGACCGCGUAGCUGAGCCUGCGGUUGACCCGGUAGGCACCACCAGCGGCCCGCACCCACGGCAGCACCUUCAGCAGCCAGCGCGAGGAGAUGCCCUGCAUCUGCGGGACCGACUUGGUCGUCGUCGCGAGGUUCCGCGCCGCGGCCGUCCCGAGGCUGAGCUGCCGGCUCGCCCCG
rnacentral:antisense_RNA from 1 species